GCCUGGGUGGCUCAGUUGGUUGAGCGUCUGACUUUGGCUCAGGUCAUGAUCUCACGGUCUGUGAGUUUGAGCCCCGCGUCAGGCU
rnacentral:tRNA from 1 species